UACGGAGGGAGCUAGCGUUGUUCGGAAUUACUGGGCGUAAAGCGCACGUAGGCGGCUUUGUAAGUUAGAGGUGAAAGCCCGGAGCUCAACUCCGGAAUUGCCUUUAAGACUGCAUCGCUUGAAUCCAGGAGAGGUGAGUGGAAUUCCGAGUGUAGAGGUGAAAUUCGUAGAUAUUCGGAAGAACACCAGUGGCGAAGGCGGCUCACUGGACUGGUAUUGACGCUGAGGUGCGAAAGCGUGGGGAUCGAACAGG
rnacentral:rRNA from 1 species